rnacentral:sRNA from 19 species
CCUGUGGAGUGUCAUACCAAACGCAAGUAGCCCAGGCAAAAGCGGGCACGUCGAAGCAGGAA